AUUGAACGCUGGCGGCAUGCCUUACACAUGCAAGUCGAACGGCAGCACGGGAGCAAUCCUGGUGGCGAGUGGCGAACGGGUGAGUAAAGUAUCGGAACGUGCCCAGUCGUGGGGGAUAACGUAGCGAAAGUUACGCUAAUACCGCAUACGAUCUAUGGAUGAAAGCGGGGGAUCGCAAGACCUCGCGCGAGUGGAGCGGCCGAUAUCAGAUUAGGUAGUUGGUGGGGUAAAGGCUCACCAAGCCGACGAUCUGUAGCUGGUCUGAGAGGACGACCAGCCACACUGGGACUGAGACACGGCCCAGACUCCUACGGGAGGCAGCAGUGGGGAAUUUUGGACAAUGGGCGAAAGCCUGAUCCAGCCAUGCCGCGUGCAGGAUGAAGGCCUUCGGGUUGUAAACUGCUUUUGUACGGAACGAAAAGGUUUGGCCUAAUACGCUGAGCUCAUGACGGUACCGUAAGAAUAAGCACCGGCUAACUACGUGCCAGCCGCCGCGGUAAUAC
rnacentral:rRNA from 1 species